CCUAACGCGUUCGGAUUAAGUACACAAUAAUUUCUCUUGCCCCAGAGGGCCUUAGACGACAGACGCAGAGGUAUUCUCGCUAAUUUCCGAAGCAAUUCCGAUGGGGAGGUUUCAGUGGUUGGAGGCUGCUCUGCCUUUGGGAAUCAUCGCCGGUUUGCUCUGCGUGAUGGGAAACUCGCAGUAUCAGAUCCACAAAGCUUAUUAUGGCCGACCAAAGCACAUUGGAAAUGAUGUGUGGGAUGUAGCCAUGGAGAGGAGGGACAAGAAGCUUUUGGAGGAGGCUGCUGCGGCGGGGAAUUAGCAAUUUAUUGGUUUUCAACUAUUUUAUAUCUGGUUUAGCAGCCAAAUCCUCAGCUGCUGCAAGCUUAUGAAAUAGAUGGUCAGUUUCUUGCACUCAUUAAACUUGUACAAUGCCCAUGCCCUCUUGGCCUCUUGCCUAUGUUCAAUCCAUUUCAGGUGACCUCCUGGAGACAAUGUCAGACACCUACUGUUGCAAAUGACGAAUUUUUAGCUCCUGUUAGUUAAGUAAUCUUUUCACACUGAUGUCAAGCACUACUGAAUGUUUUUAUAUCGUUUGAAAUCAUAAAUAAUCAUCAAAAUUUCGAAUUUCAUCCCAGAACCAAAGAAGCAUACCCUGUUCUUGAUGAUUUCUGUAUCUCAAUGCUAAAAAAAGAAUUUACAGGCCUCAUCUGUCAACAAUCAUCGUUACAUUCCUAUUUAUGAUCCUUAAGUAACUGAAUUAAUUAAAGCUUGUUAGUCAA